rnacentral:rRNA from 1 species
UCAUCGAAUCUUUGAACGCACAUUGCGCCCGCCAGCAUUCUGGCGGGCAUGCCUGUUCGAGCGUCAUUUCAACCCUCAAGCUCU